AGACACACAGAUGACCUCCCAUGCUCUCUACCUCCAGAUGAUGUAACACAAGGCACCUGCUAACUAUGCUCACUUUAAACUGCAGUAGAAAUUAGAGCCAUAACUGAGAAUCUCACUGGAAUUUCUUUUCUUCAGCUCCCCCUCUCGCUCAGUUUUCUGUCAAACAGCUGUGUUUGUAAAGGAAAUCAUCCCUCUGGAAACAAGGUGCUUGGUGGUUGUGUGGAACCAAGCCUGUGUGCUCCACAUGCAGCUCUACUAGGAGCCCUGGAGCUCUUCUGCUCAGUUUGUAGUGCCAUCUGGGGAGCUGUGCUGUGAUGGACACCUGCACUUCCAGGGGAGGAAUGGACGGCUCAGCAGUGCUCCUGACCUCAGCACUAGAUGGUACACUCUGGAAAAUGGCUGGAAAUCAGGACGACUGCACACACAUUUAAGUAAAGAAGCUCCUACUCAUAAUGACCUGCUGGUUGCUGGUUCUUGAGGGCAUGUCCAGUGUUACACAACACUUUGUUAAAAGGCCUUGAGGGUCCUUGAGCCUACAAACAUAAUUCUGUUUUUAAAUGAGACCUGAGAUUCUCCUUCAAUUGGAAAACUUUAGGAACAGACAAUUGAGUCUUGCAGAACACAUUGCAAGACUGACAGUAAGAGUACGCAAAGUGACAAUCAUUGGUUUUGUCUUAGAAAAGCAGCCGAGACCAACACUUGCAGACCUUCACUCACAAAUUUCAGCAGCUCCCAG